UUUUAAUGACAUGCAUGUUACUCAUUGUGUUCGUCCAAACCGAAAACACACAGUCCGAGGGUAUAGUUUUCAGAUAUAUUCCUUACGCAAAUCAUUUGUUCGUCGUUAGAAAGGAUCGGCAGGGGUGUUUCUUUUACAACACCACUGAACAAGAGAGGAAACAAAUACAUGAUCCGAUAGACGUUUAUGCUUUUGAGUUAAAAGUUUUAACAAUGGUACAUAACUACACUUCAUACUUUAGAGCGGCUUCUAAGAAUCUCUACCAUACUGAUUCGGCUAUCAAAGUAUACAUAAACUUGUGUAACAAGGGAGCCUAUCCUGUAUGGCUAUAUAAAGGUCAUACAUAGCAACGCCAUUUUCUACAGAGUAAUUUUUAACAUAAACUUCCGAAGUCAAUUGAUAAGUGUUUAUAAAAUAAAGACUGUAUAUUCUUA